rnacentral:rRNA from 1 species
GACAACAGGGAUUGCCCUAGUAACGGCGAGUGAAGCGGCAACAGCUCAAAUUUGAAAGCUAGCCUUCGGGUUCGCAUUGUAAUUUGUAGAGGAUGAUUUGGGGAAGCCGCCUGUCUAAGUUCCUUGGAACAGGACGUCAUAGAGGGUGAGAAUCCCGUAUGUGACAGGAAAUGGCACCCUAUGUAAAUCUCCUUCGACGAGUCGAGUUGUUUGGGAAUGCAGCUCUAAAUGGGAGGUAAAUUUCUUCUAAAGCUAAAUAUUGGCGAGAGACCGAUAGCGCACAAGUAGAGUGAUCGAAAGAUGAAAAGCACUUUGGAAAGAGAGUUAAAAAGCACGUGAAAUUGUUGAAAGGGAAGCGCUUGCAAUCAGACUUGUUUAAACUGUUCGGCCGGUCUUCUGACCGGUUUACUCAGUUUGGACAGGCCAGCAUCAGUUUCGGCGGCCGGAUAAAGGCUCUGGGAAUGUGGCCUCCACUUCGGUGGAGGUGUUAUAGCCCAGGGUGUAAUACGGCCAGCCGGGACUGAGGUCCGCGCUUCGGCUAGGAUGCUGGCGUAAUGGUUGUAAGCGACCCGUC